CCUACGGGUGGCAGCAGUGAGGAAUAUUGGUCAAUGGCCGAGAGUCUGAACCAGCCAAGUCGCGUGCGGGAAGAAUGUCCUAUGGAUUGUAAACCUCUUUUGUCAGGGAGCAAAGUCACCCACGUGUGGGUGUUUGAGCGUACCUGAUGAAAAAGCAUCGGCUAACUCCGUGCCAGCAGCCGCGGUAAUACGGAGGAUGCGGGCGUUAUCCGGAUUUAUUGGGUUUAAAGGGUGCGUAGGCGGGUUAUCAAGGCAGCGGUAAAAUCGUGGGGCUCAACUCCAGCCAGCCGUUGAAACUGGUGAGCUUGAGUGGGCGAGAAGUAGGCGGAAUGCGUGGUGUAGCGGUGAAAUGCAUAGAUAUCACGCAGAACUCCGAUUGCGAAGGCAGCAUACCGGAGCCCGACUGACGCUGAAGCACGAAAGCGUGGGUAUCGAACAGGAUUAGAUACCCUUGUAGUC
rnacentral:rRNA from 1 species